rnacentral:lncRNA from 1 species
AGGAAGAAGAGGAAGAGCACCCCCACACCCCACCCGCGUGAAGAAGAGCAACCCCACUCCCCGCCCGUGGGAAGAAGAGCACCCUCACGCCGGGCCCGCAGGAAGAAGAGCACCCCCACGCCCGGCCCGCAGCAUCCCGCUGGCUUCCUGGCCACCUCUCCUCACCCAUCUUAGAGGCAUGGCCGGGCUGGGGCAUCUUUCCCUCCUUGGGCAGGAUGAAACAGGCGCCUAUUUAAUCGACAGAGACCCCACCUACUUUGGGCCUGUGCUGAACUACCUGAGACACGGCAAGCUGGUGAUUAACAAAGACCUCGCGGAGGAAGAUGAUACCACGAGUCAACCCAAAAGUUGCUGGGGAGAAGUUGCUCUUUAAUGAAUUGCAUCUCAUGAAUGUAUCAGGCUGUGACCUUUCUGCACUCUCUAAUGAGUUCAUGAAUUUAGGCCAAUUAUGGCCACAAAUGCUGCUGCUGUCACAGAGAGAUGCCGGAUAAAGAACACCCACCACCAGUCUCUGAACAGGGAGGGGAGAAUCAACUCUGAAUGUGAUGUAGUGGCCAGGAGAGAGGACCAUGUUCAACAACGCCACACAGAUGCAAAUGACUUGUUUCUU